CUCCUACGGGAGGCAGCAGUGGGGAAUAUUGCGUAAUGGGGGAAACCCUGACCCAGCCACGCCGCGUGAAGGAAGAAGGUUUUCGGAUCGUAAACUUCUAUCCUAGGUGAAGAUAAUGACGGUGGCCUAAAAGGAAUCCCCGGCUAACUACCUGCCAACAGCCGCGGUAAUACUUAGGGGGCAAGCGUUGUCCGGAAUGAUUGGGGGUAAAGGGCGCGUAAGCGGCCAACUAAAUCGGGAGUGAAAGUCCUGCUUUUAAGGUGAGAAUUGCUUUGGAAACUGGAUGGCUUGAGUGCAUGAGAGGUUAGUGGAAUUCCCGGUGUAGCGGUGAAAUGCAUAUAGAUCGGGAGGAACACCAGUGGCGAAGGCGACUAAAUGGGCUGUAACUGACGCUGACGCGCGAAAGUGUGGGGAGCAAACAGGAUUAGAUACCCUGGUAGUCCACACUGUAAACGAUGAGUGCUACGUGUAUGGGGUAUCGACCCCUUCUGUGCCGGAGUAAACACAAUAAUCAUUCCGCUUGGGGAGUACGGCCGCAAGGUUGAAACUCAAAGGAAUUGACGGGGGCCCCCCCAAGCAGCGGACCAUGUGGUUUAAUUGGAAGCAACGGGAAGACCCUUCCCAGGUCUUGCCAUCCAUUAAAAACCGUAGAGAUACGGUGUGAGCUUGCUAGUUAUGAGACAGGUGGUGCAUGGUUGUCGUCAGCUCGUGUCGUGAGAUGUUGGGUUAAGUCCCGCAACGAGCGCAACCCUUGUGAUCAGUUACUAACACGUAGAGGUGAGGACUCUGAUAAGACUGCCGGGGACAACUCGGAGGAAGGUGGGGACGACGUCAAAUCAUCAUGCCCCUUAUGACUUGGGCUACACACGUGCUACAAUGGCCUCUACAGAGAGAAGCGAAUUCGAGAGGACGAGCGGAUCUCAAAAAAGUGGUCCCAGUUCGGAUUGUGGUCUGCAACCCGCCCACAUGAAGUCGGAGUUGCUAGUAAUCGCGGAUCAGCAUGCCGCGGUGAAUACGUUCCCGGGCCUAUGUACACACCGCCCGU
rnacentral:rRNA from 2 species